AAAUUGAAGAGUUUGAUCAUGGCUCAGAUUGAACGCUGGCGGCAGGCCUAACACAUGCAAGUCGAGCGGAAACGAGUUGUCAGAACCUUCGGGGGACGAUAACGGCGUCGAGCGGCGGACGGGUGAGUAAUGCCUAGGAAAUUGCCCUGAUGUGGGGGAUAACCAUUGGAAACGAUGGCUAAUACCGCAUGAUGCCUACGGGCCAAAGAGGGGGACCUUCGGGCCUCUCGCGUCAGGAUAUGCCUAGGUGGGAUUAGCUAGUUGGUGAGGUAAGGGCUCACCAAGGCGACGAUCCCUAGCUGGUCUGAGAGGAUGAUCAGCCACACUGGAACUGAGACACGGUCCAGACUCCUACGGGAGGCAGCAGUGGGGAAUAUUGCACAAUGGGCGCAAGCCUGAUGCAGCCAUGCCGCGUGUGUGAAGAAGGCCUUCGGGUUGUAAAGCACUUUCAGUCGUGAGGAAGGCGGUGUAGUUAAUAGCUGCAUCGUUUGACGUUAGCGACAGAAGAAGCACCGGCUAACUCCGUGCCAGCAGCCGCGGUAAUACGGAGGGUGCGAGCGUUAAUCGGAAUUACUGGGCGUAAAGCGCAUGCAGGUGGUUUGUUAAGUCAGAUGUGAAAGCCCGGGGCUCAACCUCGGAAUUGCAUUUGAAACUGGCAGACUAGAGUACUGUAGAGGGGGGUAGAAUUUCAGGUGUAGCGGUGAAAUGCGUAGAGAUCUGAAGGAAUACCGGUGGCGAAGGCGGCCCCCUGGACAGAUACUGACACUCAG
rnacentral:rRNA from 1 species